GAUGAACGCUGGCGGCGUGCCUAAUACAUGCAAGUCGAGCGAACGGACGAGAAGCUUGCUUCUCUGAUGUUAGCGGCGGACGGGUGAGUAACACGUGGAUAACCUACCUAUAAGACUGGGAUAACUUCGGGAAACCGGAGCUAAUACCGGAUAAUAUUUUGAACCGCAUGGUUCAAAAGUGAAAGACGGUCUUGCUGUCACUUAUAGAUGGAUCCGCGCUGCAUUAGCUAGUUGGUAAGGUAACGGCUUACCAAGGCAACGAUGCAUAGCCGACCUGAGAGGGUGAUCGGCCACACGGGAACUGAGACACGGUCCAGACUCCUACGGGAGGCAGCAGUAGGGAAUCUUCCGCAAUGGGCGAAAGCCUGACGGAGCAACGCCGCGUGAGUGAUGAAGGUCUUCGGAUAGUAAAACUCUGUUAUUAGGGAAGAACAUAUGUGUAAGUAACUGUGCACAUCUUGACGGUACCUAAUCAGAAAGCCACGGCUAACUACGUG
rnacentral:rRNA from 1 species